GAAUUCAUGAACCAUGUCAGGUCCGGAAGGAAGCAGCAUUAAGUGAAACCUCU
rnacentral:SRP_RNA from 2 species